rnacentral:rRNA from 1 species
CAGUAGCCGCGGUAAUACGAAGGGGGCGAGCGUUGCUCGGAAUGACUGGGCGUAAAGGGCGCGUAGGUGGCGUGCACAGUCAGAUGUGAAAUUCCUGGGCUCAACCUGGGGGCUGCAUUUGAUACGUGCGUGCUAGAGUGUGGAAGAGGGUCGUGGAAUUCCCAGUGUAGAGGUGAAAUUCGUAGAUAUUGGGAAGAACACCGGUGGCGAAGGCGGCGACCUGGUCCAUUACUGACGCUGAGGCGCGAAAGCGUGGGGAGCAAACAGGAUUAGAUACCCGCGUAGUCCCUGUCUCUUAUAA